AUGGACGGAAUCCAGACAUUUGUCCGUUUGAGGCCGCGCGCUGGGCCGCGCUAUUCGUCCGUUUUACUUCAAACGGACGGGCCGGACAGGAUAGGGUCGCGAUGUGGAGUUGGCCUGAGUGCGGCGUCUCAAGGACGCAGAGGCCGGUGCCUGCCACUCCGGGACACAUGCCAUGUAGCAGGAAUAUUGAGCCCUGCUCCUCUGUUGAUCAUGCAGAUUACAGAGAUGUCAGGGCUUUCACAUGGUUUCUCAGCGAGGACUGAUGCUGCGCUGCGGUCCCCUUCCGGUUCGCCUCUUUAUCUUACCUCCAUCCAUUCACAAGACAACAAGCGGAGCAAUAGACGCCGCUCCCAAUUUUCAGACGUGCACAGGCAUAUCAUCACUGCACGUAUUUGGCCGUUUAUAGUAUUUUGGCAUAUGCUGGGUGACUGA
rnacentral:rRNA from 1 species